GACGAACGCUGGCGGCGUGCCUAAUACAUGCAAGUUGAGCGCUGAAGGUUGGUACUUGUACCAACUGGAUGAGCAGCGAACGGGUGAGUAACGCGUGGGGAAUCUGCCUUUGAGCGGGGGACAACAUUUGGAAACGAAUGCUAAUACCGCAUAAAAACUUUAAACACAAGUUUUAAGUUUGAAAGAUGCAAUUGCAUCACUCAAAGAUGAUCCCGCGUUGUAUUAGCUAGUUGGUGAGGUAAAGGCUCACCAAGGCGAUGAUACAUAGCCGACCUGAGAGGGUGAUCGGCCACAUUGGGACUGAGACACGGCCCAAACUCCUACGGGAGGCAGCAGUAGGGAAUCUUCGGCAAUGGACGAAAGUCUGACUGAGCAACGCCGCGUGAGUGAAGAAGGGUUUCGGAUCGUAAAACUCUGUUGGUAGAGAAGAACGUUGGUGAGAGUGGAAAGCUCAUCAAGUGACGGUAACUACCCAGAAAGGGACGGCUAACUACGUG
rnacentral:rRNA from 1 species